UUUUGGAGAAUAGGGAACAGACCCUUUCUCUUUUUGUGAAGAGAGACAGCAUAUUUUGAAGAAUUGUGAUUUCAAGAAUAGAGCUUUGGCUGGAUCGUCAUAAUGGUGGAAUUCAGUGUGGGAGCAGCACUUUGUUCCAUCACAUUCCGUACCGAGCAUACUGCAAAAGGGCCUAUGAACGAUACACCUUCCUACCUGUGCGUAGAGAGGGGUGUGAUGGACCACACCGUGUGCCCUCCCAGUCAUGGUAGAACAUGUUUUGAUCAGGAAGAACAGUCCCAAUGAGAGGAAGGAUUUUAAAUGCCUUAGCCAGAGAUAAGACUGAGAAGUGUUCCUGUUCAGUCUAGAAUGACAGCUCUACAAUAACUGUGGUCUAAGAUCAGUGCAACUUGGUCAUGGUUUCAUUAAGUCUAUAGUCUUGAAUCAGUGCUCAGUACUAGGCUGUGCGAACAGGAAAGACAGCAGCCUAAAUAUCAAUUGGUUGGAGGACUGGAAAAAAGAUGAAAGCUGGGCCAUUUGACAGACAGACGUGAAAAGCUUGGAAUAUACAGAACCAUUUUACAGGAAGAAAGAAUUGUUUUUCAUUAAAACUGCCUGAACUUUGCCCUGCCUCAAAGUCAUAUUCUCCAGCAGUCAGAGCUUUGCCAACAUCUGGAGAAUCUGUCUUUGAGCGCUUGGGGAGAGAAGGAAUUUUUCUUCUGCAAGUGAGAGGAAUGGAUAAGCUUGCAACAGCACCUGCGUUAUCCGUUUCUCUGUGAGAUGGAAAACAGCCCUGCUCCAGCUGAACAGAGCUGGUGCUCCCCGCCAGCUGAUGGAAAGCUUGGUUGUUCUCAGUGGGUUGCUGGUAUUUGCUGGGUACCUCCUCAGCUCUGCCUGCACAGGGAGCACAUCCUGGUACAAAGCUGGAUGUGGGGGCUUGAGCUUUUACCCAAUCUGCUUCCUCCAGUGCUGUGGAGUUUUCCCCACAUUAGGAGGAGGUAUGGGACAUAGGAAUGGGUGUGUGCUGAGAACCUCUGGGGCUGAGGGAGAGGCCGAGCCCAGGGGUUCAGCCUGUCUACAGCCCAGCAAGUCCCCAUGUGGGCUGGUGGGGACGUGGGGAGGCUGUCGGGAUGCUGCUGCGCCAGGCUUCGGGCUGGCGGCUGUCUGUUUGUAGGGCAGGGGCAGCGGGCCCAUGAGCUGCCACCUGUUGUUAAUCUACCCCCGGCUAAUCCAUUCUGCACUGUGUCAGCAGUUCAAAAGGGCACUGUUAGUAUUUUUUGCCAACUUCAAUUAACGUGAGAUUUUGGAGGCCCCUCUGAUCGCAUUUCAUCUGUCAUGAGUCAGGAACAAAACAGACAGAUUCCAGUUGAGAGGAGAGAAGAGAAGGAGUUUAUUGCAAACCAAAACAACAACAACAGUGCUUGUACCUCCGCGGCCACGGGGGCUCGGGAGCGGGGGCCUUCCCAGCAAUUGCACCCCUUUAAAAAACUGGAAAAAUAAAAAUUAGUGCCCGGAAAUCCCAGCCCUCCCCUCCCCCCAAACAAACAAACAAAAUAAAAUGGAAGCUGCAAGUGCAAUAACUUACUUUGAAAAAACAUGGAAAGGACCAAGCUGCAAGUCUGUUUGUUCUUUUUUUAAUGUUCCACUGUAAUGAACUGCUAAUACAUGGCUGCAUAGGCAUUAACAUUGCAUGGCACAAACCUCACAUG